rnacentral:lncRNA from 1 species
UCACUCAUUAUUUUACAAAACCGAAUUUGUGCAUUUUGGGUAUAUGCACCUACAUUUUCAUAUGCAUAAUUAUGGAUUACGGAUUAUGGUUGUUUAAUAUUUGGAUAUGUUAUAUUUGGAUGAUGUUUUAUGCUUAAUUCUUAUGUGUUGCUUGAUUACUUGGUGGAGUUGUUGGUUUGUUAUAAUUGUUUAAACUUAUAUGGAAGUGUUUUUAACCAUGUUGUGUAUUUGAAGAUUUGUUCAUUUUAAGGGGAGACUUUGUCGAAAUUUUUGUUCGCACAAAAUUGGUAAUAUCUUUAUCGAUUUAUUUUUUAUGCUCUUGUUUCGAUUGCAUCUAUCUAUUUUUUUUAUGAAGGGGGAGAUAAAUAUGACAUGUUUUUGGAUAAUAUCAUUUUGGUUAAAUUUUUUAAUUGGCCAUAUAUUUAGGGGGAGCAUACAAUAUGUUUUUGGAUAAUAUGCAUUUUGAGCAUUCUUUUGAUGGCAUGAUGGUUCAUGAUAAUUUUAUGGUUAAUUGGAUGUUUGGUUAUUAUAUGUUUCUUGAUUAACCAUUGACAUAUUUUUGAUCUUAGCAUGAAUUUCUAGUAAUUUUGAUGAUGAAGGGGGAGAAGUCAUGUAUUUUGAAUAUGAAGACAUGUAAUAUGUAGUUUGUAUUUCAAGUAUUUAUGCAUGUUUUUGAAAUAUUAAUGGGGAGCUUACAAAUUAUCAUAAAUCAAAUAUUCAGGGGGAGUUUUUGUUUUGAAUUUGAUUUAUAUGUUUAAUUAUAUAUGCCAUGUAUUAAGUGGGAGUAUAAAUGUCAAAAUAUAUGAGAUGUUUGUCAUCAUCAAAAAGGGGGAGAUUGUUAGCCUAAAGGGCUGUACAUAAUGUAAUUUUGAUGAUAACAAACAUAUGUAUUGAAUGAUUUAAUAAAUAUUAUAUUUCACAUUUUCACUAGUUUUUGAAGGAUAAUAUUUAUGCAAGUGAAUCAAGUGAAAUCAAGAUUGAAGACACUCAACGGACAACGACGACAUCAAGAAUAUCGUUUAAAGCUUAACGAACAAAUUAGUGCGAUAAAUUCUUGUAAAGCCGGUAUGAUUUAAUUGAUGCAUGAUUUAGCAUUUGAGAAGCUCAAGAGAUUAAUUUAAUUAAAUACUUUUCAUAAACUAAAA